UUAAGUUCAGCGGGUAGUCCUACCUGAUUUGAGGUCACGAUGGUUGAAGUUGUCCGCAAGGGACGGCUGUGAGCGAGCACUCGACAGACACGGCAUGCAGGCGUAGAUAGUUAUCACACCAACCGCGAGAGAAGUGAACUCGCUAAUGCAUUUCAAGAGGAGCUGACUUGCGCCAGCACGCUCCAAGUCCAAGCCGCCAG
rnacentral:misc_RNA from 1 species